CUGUCAAACACACACUAAUUGACAUAUGGUAAUCAAACUUCACACGAAUAUAAAAAAGGUUGCGACAAUCAAGGAAAAAAAUUAUAUCGAUUCGCUUUGCGCGCGCAUUUUAAAUGAAUCAGUUCGAGCCAAUUUUGAUCAGAUGGUAUAUAAUCGUACAAUUUGCAUACAUAUUUGAAAGUAGUAUAGAAUCAUUUGCGCACCGCUGCGUUUCCGAAUCAUUGCAACAAUAAAGCUUUUUUAAAUCAGCAGCAGUUCGGCACAAACUAUAACUAACCAAUAACUUCCUGACAGCAUCUUUAGUUGCCGGCAACAACAGAACGUUUCGGACAGUUAUAAUGCAAAACAAGUUCCAAUGCUGUGCAUGCAGGUUGCAUGUGUACAUAUGUAUGUCUGUAAGCUAGCUAGGAAAAAAACAUUAAUAGUUCAAAACUGACUGCAACGGCGUUAGUGCUGACUUCCGUUGGAGUUGCAGGCAAGCGGCAAGCAGACAAUUGAGACGAGCCCGGCACCAGCCGACAAGGUAAUGAAAGAAAAACGAAGCGUCGAUUGCUAGGCCAGCAGACAGAAGAACACGACAUGCAGACGAUUCAGUGAACGCAUGGACAGACAGAAAUAGAGAGCAAUGCAGAUGGCGCACUGACAGCCUGGCAGUCAUGCAGUCAUGUAGGCAAAUGCUUCGUGGGGGUAAUAAUACCAUACAAUAAAAGCUUAGCCAAUAACCGAGCGAUGUGCAUCCCAACGUCGAGGGAUAACAUUGUUGUGGUUGUUGUUUAUGUGGCAGAUGACGGUGCUGCUGUUGUUGUAAUUGCAAUGCAACAUUUUAGAACUGACUUUGUUGAUAUGUUUAUUACGGAUAUUGUGGUUGUGUUGUUGUUGUUGUUGCGCCACGAAUACUUGGUUACUGUGUUAUUAUAAUCUUCGCUUCUUACUCCACGUAUAAGAAUGCAAGAAAGAUGGCAAUUGCUACAUGUGGCAACGAAUUCACGAAACGCAAAUACAAGAGAAUAAGAACAAAAAUUGGAGAAGAAAUCGAGUGCUAUCAACAGCGUUGGAGCAAUAAUUGCGCUGAGAGUACGAUAAAAGCAGAACGGCGCAUCGAUACGCACAAAUGGCAAGGACCAUUGAGCGCGCAGAAACACCGAAAGAGACAGAGAGAUAGACUCCACUCACAGACUUUCAGAAAUUAUUGAUAUGAGUUUUUGGCUACUUUUAUUACCGUGUAUAACAUUUUUGUUGAGAUUCAAAACAAACAUAUUAAGGAUUAAGGAUAACGCUCGAAAGGAUGAUUACAUCAAUUCUAGUUUGAAAAAUUCAAGUUUUCGUAGAAAUUUGCCGAUAUUGUUUUUGCUGAUAUUGUUUUAAUCACGUACAUAUAUAUUUUACCAAUGUAUUAAUAAAUGUUUUGUAAGUAGUAGAAUAAUAACUAAACUCCUUGGCAAUAC